rnacentral:rRNA from 1 species
GAUGAACGCUGGCGGCGUGCUUAACACAUGCAAGUCGAACGGUAACACGCCGUCCUUUUUGGUCGGGUUGGAUGAGGGGGGGUAAGGCGAGUAACAGGUUAGUAACCUGCCCCCUACUUCCUGAUAACAGCAGCAAAGAGCGCCUACGACCUGAGAUUCUGAGCCGGGCGCAGGAAGGGUGCGGGCAAGUGAUUGUGUCGGUGGGAGAUGGGCUCGCGGCCGAUUAGCUGGUUGGUCGGGUGAAGGCUUACCAAGGCGGCGAUGUGUAGCAGGCCUGAGAGGAGGACCGGCCACACUGGUACUGAGACACCGCCCAGACUCCUCCGGGAGGCAGCAGUAGGGAAUAUUGUUCAACGGGCGGAAGCAUGAUGCAGCAACGCCGCGUGGAGGAGGAAGGACUUCUGCUUGUAAACAGCUUCUUUCCGGAAUGAAACGGGUCUGCCUAAUAUGUGGGUCUAUUGACGGUACCUUAAUAAGAAGCACCGGCUAACUACGUG